rnacentral:rRNA from 1 species
GACGAACGCUGGCGGCGUGCCUAAUACAUGCCAGUAGAACGCUGAAGGAGGAGCUUGCCCUUCUGGAUGAGUUGCGCACGGGUGAGUAACGCGUAGGUAACCUGCCUGGUAGCGGGGGAUAACUAUUGGAAACGAUAGCUAAUACCGCAUAAGAGUAGAUGUUGCAUGACAUUUGCUUAAAAGGUGCAAUUGCAUCACUACUAGAUGGACCUGCGUGGUAUUAGCUAGUGGGUGGGGUAACGGCUCACCAAGGCGACGAUACAUAGCCGACCGGAGAGGGGGUCGGCCCACAUGGGAACGGAGAACCGCCCAGGACCCCGAGGGGAGGAAGCGUAGGGGAACUUCGGCAAAGGACGGAAGGCUGAACGAAGAACGGCGGGGGGGGGGAGAAGGUUUUUGGGACGUAAAGCUCUGUUGUAAGGGAAGAACGAGUGUGAGAGUGGAAAGUUCACGCUGUGACGGUAUCUAACCAGAAAGGGACGGCUAACUACGUG